rnacentral:misc_RNA from 1 species
AUCUCUACAGGUCUCUUUUUGUUGGGGUUUUUCACAUGUUGAACCAGAUAUCCUCAACAUUCCAUAAAUUGUAGGAUGUAUCCCCACCGUCCACCCAAAAUUGGUUGUUGUUAUGCUCCAUGGCUGGGAAAUCCGAUACCUGGUUAAAAUAACCAGAUGGACUAAUCAUUGACUCCGAGUAGCCAACUUGCCCAGAUUGAAAAUAAUCCGGAUUAACCGAGAUGCCAUAAUAAUCAUUAGGCGAAACCUGAUUUCUCAAUGAGUCUGAUGAUGCAGCCGUGCUCGAAGUUUCUGGGGUAGUGUAAGUACUAGGAGUAACAUGUGCAACCCCAAACUCACUCCCGACAUGAGCUACGGCCCAUUGCCCGCUGCCCAUGUCGGUGUUGGUGCUGUUGAUUAGGUGAUGAUGAUGAGUGGCCUCUGUGAUGGUGCUGUUGAUUAGGUGAUGGUGAUGAGUGGCCUCUGUGAUGGUGCUGUUGAUUAGGUGAUGG